rnacentral:lncRNA from 10 species
GCUGCCUUCUUCGCUUUGUGCGCGGUGGGGGCCGGGGCGGUGGCGGCCGCCGGGGCUCCGCGCCGCUCCCCGCCGCCCUCCAGCUUCUUGCGGUUGAGCUUGAAGGAACCGUUGGCGCCGGUGCCCUUCACCUGCAGAAGCGUGUCGUUCUGCACCAGCGCCUUGAUCGAGUACUUGAGGGCACCCUCCCUGCAUGGCCCGAUGACCUGCACUCCUGUUUCAUCUCCCCGUGUGGCACCUGGGGCAGCUUGGAGCCUACCAAGGUCUCAACAAGGAACCAGUAAAUACCAAAAAAAGGACAUCACGUCCCCUACAGCUAACUGCAAAUGGUGACCAUCCCAGCCCUUGUUUGAUAACACAAGCAAAGCAAUGGCUUCUUCAAGGACACCGAGAGGAACCUCACCUCUUUCUAAAACCUCCAACACAGGGCCAGGCGCGGUGGCUCAUGCGUGUAAUCCCAGCACUUUGGGAGGCCGAGGCAGGUGGAUCACGAGGUCAGGAGAUCGAGACCAUCCUGGCUAACACGGUGAAACCCCGUCUCUACUA